UACGAAGGGGGCUAGCGUUGCUCGGAAUGACUGGGCGUAAAGGGCGCGUAGGCGGAAUGCUUUGUCGGGCGUGAAAUUCCAGGGCUCAACCUUGGGCUGCGUUCGAGACGGGUAUUCUAGAGUGGGGAAGAGGGUCGUGGAAUUCCCAGUGUAGAGGUGAAAUUCGUAGAUAUUGGGAAGAACACCGGUGGCGAAGGCGGUCUGCUGGGGCGAACUGA
rnacentral:rRNA from 1 species